GAUGAACGCUGGCGGCGUGCCUAAUACAUGCAAGUCGAGCGAACGGACGAGAAGCUUGCUUCUCUGAUGUUAGCGGCGGACGGGUGAGUAACACGUGGAUAACCUACCUAUAAGACUGGGAUAACUUCGGGAAACCGGAGCUAAUACCGGAUAAUAUUUUGAACCGCAUGGUUCAAAAGUGAAAGACGGUCUUGCUGUCACUUAUAGAUGGAUCCGCGCUGCAUUAGCUAGUUGGUAAGGUAACGGCUUACCAAGGCAACGAUGCAUAGCCGACCUGAGAGGGUGGUCGACCACACGGGAACUGAGACACGGACCAGACUACUACGGGACGCAGCAGUAGGGAAUCUUCCGCAAUGGGCGAAAGCCUGACGGAGCAACGCCGCGUGAGUGAUGAAGGUCUUCGGAUCGUAAAACUCUGUUAUUAGGGAAGAACAUAUGUGUAAGUAACUGUGCACAUCUUGACGGUACCUAAUCAGAAAGCCACGGCUAACUACGUG
rnacentral:rRNA from 1 species